rnacentral:rRNA from 1 species
CGUCUAUAUACGUAUAGCAUAUCAAUAAGCGGAGGAAAAGAAACUAACUAGGAUUCCCUCAGUAACGGCGAGUGAAGCGGGAAGAGCUCAAAUUUGAAAUCUUCAAGGUUCUACCUUGACGAAUUGUAGUUUAAAGAAGUGUUUCUGUUGGAGUUUUGGUAAAAGUUCUUUGGAAUAGGACAUCAUAGAGGGUGAGAAUCCCGUAUUUGACCAUUAUUUCCAACUUUGUGAUACACUUUCAAAGAGUCGGAUUGUUUGGGAAUGCAGUCCAAAAUGGGUGGUAAAUUUCAUCUAAAGCUAAAUACUGGCGAGAGACCGAUAGCGAACAAGUACCGUGAGGGAAAGAUGAAAAGAACUUUGAAAAGAGAGUUAAACAGUACGUGAAAUUGUCAAAAGGGAAGCGUUUGACACCAGUGUUGUUUUCUCGAAAAUCAAUUAAAAAUGGCAGGAUGUUGUGUUGUAUUGACUUUAUCAGCUUUCUGCACUUUUUUCUUGUCUUUUUUAAUGCACUUUUCGCUUAACAAGUCAACAUCAAUUUCUUUUGUUGUAAAAGAGUCAUUGGAAGGUGGCUUUCUUUUCGGAGAAAGUGUUUAUAGCCUUUGACUUCUGCAAUCGGAGAGAUUGAGGUCUGCAGCGUAGAUCCUUCGGGGUUAGAUACAUUUGUGCUAAGUUAUAGCCUUUCAUAGACAACUUGUUGACUAUGAUCAGUCAUGUAGCUUACUCGCUUAUGCUAUUUUACCUACGCUUAGGAUGUUGACGAUCAGCUGAGCGCG